GCGCGAACGGACCCGGAUUCAUUUACAGACCCCACAUUGAUAGAAUUUCCGAUUUCUGUGAUAUAUCAUAUAACGAGUCUUAUGAUAACAUGCCACUUUGAUAUAAAAUUUGAACGAAAAAUUUUUACGAUUUUAAAGCCGGAGGGGGGAGGGGGUCGGAACAGAGACAUACUAUACAUAUUUAAAAUACUAAAUUCCUCAUCGAGACCACUGUGAUAUACCUGACUUAGGUUGGGGGACUAAAGACAAGUAUAUAUAUUGUAAAUAAAACGAAGAGAUUUCAAUUUAUGAUCCUUUUACUUUGGAUUCAAACGCCAAAAGAGGCUGAUACAUGUAAUCUUCACAACAAUGGGCCAUUCCAGUUAAUUUCUGACAGGUGGGGAUGGAUGGGGAGAAUUUUGUUUAUACCAGAGACAUAUAUAUGUCUCUGUUUAUACGUAUCAGAAAAAAACGUCAUGAAAAACUACCUAUCAGAUCUAAGAAUUAAGACCUAUCAGAUGUAGAGUUUCUGUUCAUAUUGGGUGGAUGGGCUUUCAUGGGAAAAAAUGACCUAUCAGAACUUUUUACUGCAAGGAUUGUACCCAUUAGAAUUUUAAAUACAAUACCAGAUAAUGCAUUAUACGUAUCUGUCUACAUUCAAAAGCACCCCUAAGAUCUGACAUAGGAAUUUUUGUAACCCCUAAGAUGUAAUUAUUUUAAAUUAUUUACUUCUGUGUGACGGGAUUGCUUCCCUUAGAACAUUUGGUAGAUACUUAGUCAGCCGUAAGCGGAUGAGCUAAGGAAGUACUUCUUUAGCUCAGUCGGUUAGCGCGCUGCCUUGUAACACAGAGGUCCAGGGUUCGAGUCCCGGUGGAGACAAGCAAUUUUGUAAUGAAAUUCGUGCUCUCCGGUUACAUUGGCGCCCAACUAAAAAACCCACGAUAGUUAGAAAGGAAUUCUAGCUAGGGUAUGUUUGUGUGAGAGUCAUAAUGGUAUGAUGACUCUUGAGGUGGGGGAAGUGUGACGGGAUUGCUUCCCUUAGAACAUUUGGUAGAUACUUAGUCAGCCGUAAGCGGUUGAGCUAAGGAAGUACUUCUUUAGCUCAGUCGGUUAGCGCGCUGCCUUGUAACACAGAGGUCCCGGGUUCGAGUCCCGGUGGAGACAAGCAAUUUUGUAAUGAAAUUCGUGCUCUCCGGUUACA
rnacentral:lncRNA from 1 species